rnacentral:rRNA from 1 species
UACGGGGGGGGCAAGCGUUGUUCGGAAUUAUUGGGCGUAAAGGGCGCGUAGGCGGUCGUGUGCGUCGGAGGUGAAAUCCCCGGGCUUAACCCGGGAGCUGCCUCCGAUACGGCAUGGCUUGAGUCCGGGAGAGGGGAGCAGAAUUCCCAGUGUAGCGGUGAAAUGCGUAGAUAUUGGGAGGAAUACCGGUGGCGAAGGCGGCUCCCUGGACCGGUACUGACGCUGAUGCGCGAAAGCGUGGGUAGCAAACAGG